UCGAGAAUCUUCGGCAAUGGGCGCAAGCCUGACCGAGCGACGCCGCGUGGAGGAUGAAGGCCUUCGGGUUGUAAACUCCUGUCGAGGGGGAGGAAGGGGCGACCUUGACCGAUCCCUGGAGGAAGCACGGGCUAAGUUCGUGCCAGCAGCCGCGGUAAGACGAACCGUGCAAACGUUAUUCGGAAUCACUGGGCUUAAAGCGGGUGUAGGCGGAUGGGAACGUCGGAACCUGAAAGCCCCCGGCUCAACCGGGGAAGUGGGGCCGAAACGACCCGUCUGGAGGGACGUAGGGGGAUCUGGAACUUCCGGUGGAGCGGUGAAAUGCGUUGAGAUCGGAAGGAACGCCCGUGGCGAAAGCGAGAUCCUGGACGUUUUCUGACUCUGAGACGCGAAAGCGAGUGGAGCAAACG
rnacentral:rRNA from 1 species